UACGGGGGGGGUAAGGCGUUGUUCGGAAUUACUGGGCGUAAAGGGCUCGUAGGCGGCCAACUAAGUCGGACGUGAAAUCCCUCAGCUUAACUGGGGAACUGCGUCCGAUACUGGAUGGCUUGGAUUUGGGAGAGGGAUGCGGAAUUCCAGGUGUAGCGGUGAAAUGCGUAGAUAUCGUGGAGGAACACCGGUGGCGAAGGCGGCAUCCUGGACCAACACUGGACGCUGAGGAGCGAAAGCCAGGGG
rnacentral:rRNA from 1 species